GCCUGGCGCGGUGGCAUGUACCUGUAGUCCCAGCUACUUGAGAGGCUGAGGUGGGAGGAUCGCUUGAGCCCAGGAGUUCUGGGCUGCAGUGUGCUAUGCCGAUCGGGUGUCUGCACUAAGUUCGGCAUCAAUAUGGUGACCUCCCGGGAGCGGGGAACCACCAGGUUGCCUAAGGAGGGGUGAACCGGUCCAGGUCGGAAACGGAGCAGGUCAAAACUCCAGUGCUGAUCAGUAGUGGGAUUGCACCUGUGAAUAGCCACUGCAUUCCAGCCUGGGCAACUUAGUGAGACCCUGUCUCUA
ensembl:misc_RNA Metazoa_SRP Metazoan signal recognition particle RNA